UGCGUAGGCGGGCUAAUAAGUCAGUGGUGAAAUCUCUCGGCUCAACCGGGAAACUGCCAUUGAUACUGUUAGUCUUGAGUUCGGUUGAGGUAGGCGGAAUGUGUAAUGUAGCGGUGAAAUGCUUAGAUAUUACACAGAACACCAAUUGCGUAGGCAGCUUACUAGACCGACACUGACGCUGAGGCACGAAAGCGUGGGGAGCGAACAGGAUUAGAUACGCUGGUAGUCC
rnacentral:rRNA from 1 species